AAUAUUUGACAAUGGGCGAAGGCCUGAUCCAGCCAUGCCGCGUGUGUGAAGAAGGUCUUCGGAUUGUACAGCACUUUAAGUUGGGAGGAAGGGCAGUAAGUUAAUACCUUGCUGUUUGGUCGUUACCGACAGAACAAGCCCCGGCUCACUCCGUGCCAGCAUCCGCGGUAAUACGAAGGGUGCAAGCGUUAAUCGGAAUUACUGGGCGUAAAGCGCGCGUAGGUGGUUUGUUAAGUUGGAAGUGAAAGCCCCGGGCUCAACCUGGGAACUGCUUUCAUAACUGCUGAGCUAGAGUACGGUAGAGGGUAGUGGAAUUUCCUGUGUAGCGGUGAAAUGCGUAGAUAUAGGAAGGAACACCAGUGGCGAAGGCGACUACCUGGACUGAUACUGACACUGAGGUGCGAAAGCGUGGGGAGCAAACAGG
rnacentral:rRNA from 1 species